AGGGAUAGGGUCGGUUCGGCCGGAUUUUACACAAGUGUUGCAUGGCUGUCGUCAGCUCGUGUCGUGAGAUGUUGGGUUAAGUCCCGCAACGAGCGCAACCCUCAUCCUUAGUUGCCAUCAGGUAAUGCUGAGUACUUUAAGGAAACUGCCAGUGAUAAGCUGGAGGAAGGUGGGGAUGAUGUCAAGUCAUCAUGGCCUUUAUGGAGUGGGCUACACACGUGCUACAAUGGUGUCUACAAUGGGCUGCAAGGUGCGCAAGCCUAAGCUAAUCCCUAAAAGACAUCUCAGUUCGGAUUGUACUCUGCAACUCGAGUACAUGAAGUUGGAAUCGCUAGUAAUCGUGGAUCAGCAUGCCACGGUGAAUACGUUCUCGGGUCUUGUACACACUGCCCGUCACGCCAUGGGAAUUGGUUCCCUUCGAAGC
rnacentral:rRNA from 1 species